rnacentral:rRNA from 3 species
UACGUAGGGUGCGAGCGUUGUCCGGAAUUAUUGGGCGUAAAGAGCUUGUAGGCGGUUUGUCGCGUCUGCCGUGAAAAUUCGAGGCUCAACCUCGAACUUGCGGUGGGUACGGGCAGACUAGAGUGUGGUAGGGGAGACUGGAAUUCCUGGUGUAGCGGUGAAAUGCGCAGAUAUCAGGAGGAACACCGAUGGCGAAGGCAGGUCUCUGGGCCACUACUGACGCUGAGAAGCGAAAGCAUGGGGAGCGAACAGG